AAUUUAAUGGGUUAUGGAGUUAACCCUAAACCGCUUUAUUUUAAAGCUAAUGACUCCUACACAAAA
rnacentral:ncRNA from 1 species